GUAGGUGGCAAGCGUUGUCCGGAAUUAUUGGGCGUAAAGCGCGCGCAGGCGGUUCUUUAAGUCUGAUGUGAAAGCCCACGGCUCAACCGUGGAGGGUCAUUGGAAACUGGAGAACUUGAGUACAGAAGAGGAAAGCGGAAUUCCACGUGUAGCGGUGAAAUGCGUAGAGAUGUGGAGGAACACCAGUGGCGAAGGCGGCUUUCUGGUCUGUAACUGACGCUGAGGCGCGAAAGCGUGGGGAGCAAACGAGGGAUUAGAUACCCUGGUAGUCCACGCCGUAAACGAUGAGUGCUAAGUGUUAGGGGGGGUUUCCGCCCCCGUUAGUGCUGCAGCUAACGCAUUAAGCACUCCGCCUGGGGAUACGGCCGCAAGGCUG
rnacentral:rRNA from 1 species